rnacentral:rRNA from 1 species
UACGUAGGGUGCGAGCGUUGUCCGGAUUUAUUGGGCGUAAAGGGCCCGUAGGCGGCCUGUCGCGUCGGAAGUGAAAGCCCACUGCUUAACGGUGGGUCUGCUUCCGGUACGGGCAGGCUAGAGUAUGGCAGGGGAGACUGGAAUUCCUGGUGUAGCGGUGGAAUGCGCAGAUAUCAGGAGGAACACCGGUGGCGAAGGCGGGUCUCUGGGCCAUUACUGACGCUGAGGAGCGAAAGCGUGGGGAGCGAACAGG